CUUACCCUUUAAUAAAACUUAUAUAUAGAAAGAAGACAACAUCAGAUGAUUAAGGACCACACCCUGAAGAAGCUAAAAAAAUGGCGCUCCAUUUUCUCCUCUAAAAAGAGACGAAAGCUGACUCUUCUCCUGGACUCUAUCAACGACAUACCCCUCUCCAUUUCUCAACAAGAACGAUCAGAUUUCCACAUCCAAUCUCAUACACACGAAAAUACACAAACAUAUUAAAAGUUCGAAUCCGAAAAAUGGUUUCAAACAAAAAUCAAAAGGAAGCUAGAAUUUGAGGUUCGAAUUGGUUGGCUUGUUGUUGCUGAGUUUUCCGUUGAAGAUGUGCUGCUGAGUUCCGUUUUCAAUUCCAUCCUUUAUCUGGGCCCUAAGUUCUAGUUUGAUAGCUUGUUGAGUAGCUGAGCUCCAUUCCGCAUCCUAGAUUUUUUUAAUUGGCCAUUUACAACUAUUCUGGAUUGUUUAGGUACGUCUUCCUAUUCCUAUGGUCCUCUUAUUUGAUUAUGAAUGAAUAUUUGAGGGCUCAUUCUAUGAAUAUGCUAAAUUUUGUGGAAUCUAAAAAUUGAUGGGUUGUGUAAUUGUAAGGUAUUAUUGGACAACACUGAAUCAGAAGAAUGAUUUUUGAUUAAUGUGCCUGAAAUUUUUGUUCUCUGUAUUUGAAUGCUGAGUUUUUUUUCGAUUUCUCUUGUGGAAGGACACGCCGAUUUCUUUGUAAAAAAUGGUGGGUUUGCUAUUUUUCCAGUUUUUUUUGGAAAUCGGAUUCCUUCCUUCGAUUCUGUUGAUGUUUCCUUUUUAAAGGAAGAAGAGAAUAUUGAUUUUAGAAUUUUAUAAUCCAAUUUGUUUUUCUGCUUGUACUUUGCUUUGGUGGUAAAUUUUGAGCAGGGGGUCUUAUUGCGCAAGACCCCAGGGCUGCCUCAAUUUUGCUGAAGUUGAAUGAAGCAUAAUUCUUUUCUCUAUGAAAGCAAAGCUAAAAAGCUCUAUGAUUUUGGUUAUUCUCCUUUGCUUUUUUUACUUUUCCCAAUGCUUUUAUAUAGCAAAUCAAUAACCGAGAAGAUGAGUUGAGCUUAACACUAUGUUAUAUAUGUAGACUUUCUGGUUAAUUGCUAUUUUAUUUUGUAUUAUCUUCUAAGUAAUCAAAUUCCAGGAGCACCGUUUGUUAGUAAUAUGUAUCCUUAAUCUUUGAGCAUUUACCCACAAGUCAUGUCUAUAAAUUUUUGAGCUUGUCACAUGAACUCAAAUUAAUUUUAGAAAGUAAAUAUGAACAUCUGUAGUUUGCUUUUGGCACGCAAUUAAAUUAUUACAACUAUGGGUACGGUUCCCGUGACGUGGUUGUGAUACCUAAUUUAAAAUUAGAUUAAAGUAGAAGUGCCUUUAGUUUGCCUUAGUGAAAUACCAAUCUUUUCUUCGAAAAAAAUAAAAUAAUUUGGGGUGUGUCAUACACAAAUAAAAAUCCUAUAAUCUAUGGCGCUCACAUAAAUACAAAAUUAGUAUAGAAAAUGCCUUGAACUUUCAUAGUUUGCUUUAGGCGCAUUAAUUAAAUAAUUAUCAUAGCUACGGAUACGGUUCCCGUGACGUAGUCGUGACGUUUAAUUACUGAAAUCCGAGAGUACAUUUAUGUGACCCAGCAAUAAUUUAAUCUUUAAUAAUUUAAACAUGUUGUAGAUCGUGGGUACGGUUCUCGUGGCAUGAUUCGCAGUGUGUAUCAAACAAACAAAUGUACGACAAUCGUAACUUGUUCCAGAAUAAUUCUAAAAAAUAAUUAAAAUCGUUUAUAAAGUUUAAAAGGCACAAGAGGUUUAAAUAUGUAAUAAGUCAGAUAAUUAGACUAAUUAUUAAUAGUUAAGCGACCGUGCUAGAACCACGGAACCCGAGAAUGCCUAACACCUUCUCCCAGGUUAACAAAAUUCCUUAUCUAGAAUUUCUGGUUCCGUAGACUUUUAAAUAAAGUCAAUUUUCCUUGAUUUGGGAUUUAAAAUAAACCGGUGACUUGGGACACCACUAUAAAUAUCCCAAGUGGCGAUUCUAAAAUAAAUAAAUAAUCUCAUUUCGAUUAUUGUCACUUUAAUUGGAAAAACUCUCUUAUAUCCCCUCUCGGGUGGUAAAAAAGGAGGUGUGACACUUUUCGACCGGGGUUAGGAAUUGUUAUAAAUUGUAUUAUUAUGAGUAAUUGAGCAUAAAUUAAUGGGUUUGCAUAAUUAUUGGCUAGUUUCGUAGCGUUGUGCAUCAGUUUGAGUCGUCGGAAGAGCUUGGAUGUCGGUUAUGGAACUUCAGAGCAAGGUAAGUCUCUUUUCUAACCUUGUAAGAGAUAAUUAACCCCAUAGGUAAACUAAAUUAAUAUGCACCUCUAUUUGUGGGGGCUACGUACGCAUGAGGUGACGAGAGUCCGUACGUAGCUACUAGCUAUGCCUAUGUCCGAGUAGUUUUAGGUUUAUACCAUGCCUUAUUGAUAUUAUUGUUGAUUUAUGUUUAUUGUUUGCCUUGAGAAGAAGCGAGAUUGAGCUUUCUUAGUAAAUAUCUUGAAAAGAGUUGAAAUUGAGGAAUUUGAGAUCUUAAAAGUUUUCAUUUAAACUUCGUAUUUUUGAAAAGGAUUGUAGGAAUAUUAUAAUAGCUUAAGAAAUCUAUUUGUAACCGCGUCGCAUGUAUUUUUCGCGAGCGGGGAAAAUUUCUUUAAAAACCUACAAGUUGAAUUUUCCUUACUUUGAAAAGAAUCAAGAAAGAGAUAUGAUUUCAAUGGCAAAUUUAUAUUUUACCACGUCGCAAGUAUGAUCCGCGAGCGGGGUGAUUCCUUAAAUUUAUAUUUUACCGCGUCGCACGUAUGAUUCGCGAGAGGGGUAUUCCCUUUUACUACUCUUAUGGGAUCGGGCCAUUCGCCUCGGCAGGAUUUAUGUACCACACUCUCAUGGGAACGGGUCGUUCGCCUCAGCAGGUUAAUAGAUGCAUCUAUGGUUCACGCCGUUCAACCCUCGGCAGUGCACAUUUUAUUCUUAUGUUGGAUCGGGCUGUACGCCUCGACAUUUUCAUAUAUAUAUAUAUAGAUCACUCUUAUGGAACUCGUGCGUAACAUUUGGCUAGAAGCCAUGGUAUCUGAGGAUCUUUCCCUGAAUUGAAUUGUUACAACCAUUUUAUGAUAGUCACUAUACCUUUAUAUAUAUGCUCCGGUUACGGAGGGAACAUGCUAGUUGGGAGAUUGAGUAUAAUUGUAAAGAAGACAAUUGUACCAUGUAUUUUAUACAUCUUUAUUUCAUAUGCUUACUCUGCUUCAUAUUUAUUCAUUUCUUUUCUGUAUUUGAAAUCAUUGGACCACUAGUAAGUGUUGAAGUCGACCUAUCGUCACUACUUCUUCGAGAUUAGACGGGAUACUUACUGGGUACACGUUAUUUUUGUACUCAUACUACACUUGUUAUUCAUUUUUGUUGCACAGACACAUGUAUGAUUAUUGGCCUAGUCAGGCGCAACGGCAUGUUUGAUACGGAGACUUAGGUGAGCUACACCUCUCGAGGCGACCCGUAGUCGGUAGAGUCUCCUUCAGAGUACUGUAUUGUAUUUUUUUCUCUGUCCAAUUUAUAUUCCGGACAGUUAUGGUAUUACAUUGUUUCCUAGAAAUUGCUCAUCCACUUGUGACACCGGGGUUUGGGAUGUCAACGGGAUUAUUUAGUGUCAAAAUUUGUUAAAGACAUCAUUAUUUAUUCAGUGAAAUUCUUUAUUAAUUGUUUAAUAUUUUAAAAAGGGAUGAUUUCAAAAAUUAAAACGAGAAAUUACUAGCUAUUUGGUGUUGGCUUGCCCGGCAGUGGUGUCCGGCGCCAUUACGAUCCUUAGUGGAUUUUGGGUCGUGACAAUUUUGUCCCGUUUAUCCCGUCCCGUUUAGGCCCGCCCCGCCACUAGGGGCAAAGCUUUGUUGGCCCAAGGGUGGUCAACUAACCACUAUUUGCCGAAAAAUUAUACUAUGUAUAAGGUAAAAGAUUACUUGUUAUUGAUUAAAAAUAAACUUUGAACACCUUUACAUAGCCCACUAGAAAUGGGUGUUCAAAAUUUAAAUACCUUUAUUCAAUUUUCUGGUUUCGCCAUUGCCCCUCACCAUCCCUCCCGAUCCGCCUCGUUGGACUGCCUUAAAUUCAGAGGAAGAAAUGGAGAAGAAAGGUGAAAAUGUAUAAAAGAGGUAAAAAAAUUAAAAGAGAAAGGAAGGUGAAAUAUAAAGAUAAACUAGAGAAAAAAAAUAUAAAUUUUAAAAAAGAAGGGCUAAUUAGCCAUUAGAAACUGUCAGGUGGGCCAUUUUAAUUGUUGUUUUUAGCUUUCGCAUGUUCUUGGGAGAAAUGUUACACACAUUAUGCCAUAUAAGAGACGAGGGAGUUUUAUUAUGAAGGGGUAUAUAGUUCAGGGGUUUUCGGACAUGUGAUAGUUUAGGUAGUGUGACGACCCGGUCAGUCGUCUCCUAAGUUGCUGCUCCAUUUUUCCCUAUUUCUGCUUCUUAUUGCUUUGUAUAAUGGUUCUACAUGUGAUCGGGUUGAUUGGUUAAGGUUCGGAAAGAAUUUGGUAAGGUUUGAGACACUUAGUCUCUUUUGAGGAAGGUUAAGUUGGAAAAGUCAACCGGAUUUUGACUUAUGUGUUAGAGGUAUCGGAUGUGAGUUCUGACUGUUCGGAUAGCUUCGGUAGGUGAUUUGGGACUUAAGAGCAUGAUCAAAAUGCGUUUUGGAGGUUUGAAGUAGAUUUAGGCUUGAAUUGGCGCAGUGGUUAUUUUGGCGAUUUUCGGUUGGCAGGCGAGAUUUUGAUAUAUGGGUCGGAAUGGAAUUCCGAGAGUUGCAGUAGUUCCAUUGUGUCAUUUGGGAUGAGUGUGAAAAUUUCAAGUCAUUCGAACGUGGUUUUGUUGGAUUUUUUAUCAAAAGCGUAAUUUGGAAGAUUUUCGAAUUCUUAGGCUUGAAUCUGAUGCGAAUUUGGUGUUUCGAUGUUGUUUUCAGUGUUCUGAAGGUUGGAACAAGUUUGAAUGAGGUUAUGGUAUAUGUUGGCAUGUUUGGAUGAAGUCUCAGGGGCCUCGGCUGAGUUCCCAUUUCAUGAAGUUUGGAAUUGCAGAAAUCUGUUGCUCAGUGUUGCAGACAAACGACCUUCGCGUUCGCGAGAGGGGAACUGUGAUCGCGAAGGGUUAGCUGGAGAAGGCUGAAAUUUUAGCCUUCGAGUUUGCGAGGAAGGUUCCGCAUUCGCGAAGGGACUGUGAAGUGAUUCAUUGCAUUCGCGAGGAAAGCUCCGCGUUUGCAUAGAGGAAAUUGGCCAGCUGGGUUUGAGGUGUUUUGUUUAUCGCGUUUGCGGGUGAGGGAGCGCGUUCACGAAGAGUCAGGUUGUGGAACCAUCGCGUUCACGAGUGGCAUGAUGCGAUCGCGAAAGAGGAAUUUUGGUCAAAGGUGAUUUAUGCUUCGCGAACGCGAGACUUAGACUGUGUUCGCGAAGAAGGAUUUCAGGCCUGGGCAGAAUGUUUAAAUACUCAUCUUGUCCGCGAUUUUAGGAUUUAUUUCUUCCAUUGUUAAUCGUUUUUGGAGCUUUUUGAAGAGGAUUGAAGAGGGAUUCAAGAGGAAUCACUUCGAGGUAAUAUUCUUGGACUUAAAACUCGAUUCUAAUGUGAAUUCCACCUAAAUAAUCAUGGAAAUUAAGCAAAAAAUUGAAGAACUACGGCUUGGAAACUUAGACCUUUGAUUGAGGAUUUGAAGGACCAUUUGAGGUCGGAUUUCAGAACUUUUGAUAUGUAUGGACUCGUGGGGAGAUAAGGAAUAUAUUGAUAUAAAAAUUAUUGAAUUCCAAGAUGUGGGCCCGGGGGUCAGGUUUUUGUAAUUUUGGGAUUUGUGUCGUAUAUUGAUUAUUUUCGCUUGGGCUUUGUUCCCUUAGCAUAUUUUGAUAUUGUGAUUCUGAUUUUGGAUAGAUUCGACGUAAGUGGAGGCCGAUUCGAGGGGCAAAGGUGUCGCGAGCUAGAGAUUUACCGGUUUGAGGUGAGUAAUAAUUGAAAAUGAUGUUCUGAGGGUAUGAAACCCCUGAUUUGCACAUCGUUGUGCUAUAUUGAGGUGACACACACACUUAAUGACGAGUGUGGGAUCGUGCACUAUUGGGGAUUGUGACUUAGUCCGUCCCGAAUGACUAUUUUACUGUGUAUUUGACUGAAAUCUAUUUGCUAUCAUCAUUAUUUGGGCUGAAUGCCAUAUUUGGGCUUUUGCCAACUAUUUGAACCCUUCGAGGACUUUUAUUGAUAUUUUCUUAUUGUUUUGACUUUAUACUUGAAUUCAGUCCUGAUAUAUUUCACUAUUUUCGUACUCAGCCAUGUUUACUCUGUUUUAACACUUAAAUGAUCUUUUAAAUGAUAUUUUGGGCCGAGAAUCAUGUUUUACUAUUGCCCGAGUGGCUUGUGAGGAUUUUGACUGAGUAAGGCCGAGGGACUAUGUUGUGAGGAAGCAUUUGAUAUUGAUUAUGAGGCUGAGGGCCAGAGAUAUGUAUGCCACUAGGUGUCGUGAUUGAUAUGAGGCCGAGAUCCUAGUGAUGUAUGCCACGAGAUGGCUUGAUAUUGCGUUUGGGCUGUAAGGGGCCUCUCCAUGAGUCUGCACACCCCCAGUGAGCGCGGGUACCUAUCUGACGUGAGAUGUAGCCCGAGAGGCUGGUAUUGUUCUGAGAUAUUGCCAGAGGGGCGGAUUUGUUGACACUGUGCCUGAGAGGCGAACCUUUAUGUGUUUAUCUUUUUGAAUUACCUGUCAUUAUCUGUUUAAUUGUUGAAAAGGUAUUUCCCAAAGUUUAAAACUGAACCUAAAUGAUUAUUUGUAUUUCUAUUGAUUCACUAUUUUUAAUGGUUUUACUGCUUCAUUAUAGCUUGCUUUGUGCCUUGCGUGAUUUCCUGCUUUCAGUCUUUAUUUAUGAUUAUUACUCACUGAGUUGGAGUACUCACUUUACUCCCUGCACCCUGUGUGCAGAUUCAGGCGCAUCUGGUCCCGCUCCCGAGUGCUGAUCUUUCCAGCUCAGGCAGAUCCGAGGAGUCUCUAGGUAGCUGUCUGCAUUCGCAGCCCGGAGAUUCUUCCCCAUCUUAUUCUCCAUGUUCUUAGUUACUGUAUUAAACUCUGUAGAUUUCUCUGAGUAUUCCGGAUUGUUUAGAUGUUCAUGGCUAGUGACACCCCGGUAUCGGGCUGUGUGGGGUUGUAUUCCGCAAAUUAUGUUGUUAUCUGCUUAAACUUUGGAUUAUUUUAUCAUGCUUAGACUGUUUCUUACUGUUUAGCUGUUAAAUACCGAAAUGGGAAGUGUCGGCUGGCCUUGUCUUCACGAGAGGCGCCAUCACGACCGAGUCUGG
rnacentral:lncRNA from 1 species